rnacentral:rRNA from 1 species
CCUACGGGAGGCAGCAGUGAGGAAUAUUGGUCAAUGGGCGAGAGCCUGAACCAGCCAAGUCGCGUGAGGGAAGACGGUCCUAUGGAUUGUAAACCUCUUUUGCCGGGGAGCAAAAAGCGGUACGUGUACCGCAUCGAGAGUACCCGGAGAAAAAGCAUCGGCUAACUCCGUGCCAGCAGCCGCGGUAAUACGGAGGAUGCGAGCGUUAUCCGGAUUUAUUGGGUUUAAAAGGUGCGCAGGCGGCGAGUUAAGUCAGCGGUAAAAUUUCGGGGCUCAACCCCGACAAGCCGUUGAAACUGGCGUGCUAGAGUGGGCGAGAAGUAUGCGGAAUGCGUGGUGUAGCGGUGAAAUGCAUAGAUAUCACGCAGAACUCCGAUUGCGAAGGCAGCAUACCGGCGCCCAACUGACGCUCAGGCACGAAAGCGUGGGUAUCGAACAGGAUUAGAUACCCGGGUAGUC